GUAGGUGGCAAGCGUUGUCCGGAUUUACUGGGCGUAAAGAGCGCGCAGGCGGUCGUUCAAGUCGCGUGUGAAAGCCCCCGGCUCAACUGGGGAGGGUCACGCGAUACUGAUCGACUCGAAGGCAGGAGAGGGAAGUGGAAUUCCCGGUGUAGUGGUGAAAUGCGUAGAUAUCGGGAGGAACACCAGUGGCGAAGGCGACUUCCUGGCCUGUUCUUGACGCUGAGGCGCAAAAGCUAGGGGAGCAAACGGGAUUAGAUACCCCGGUAGUCCUAGCCGUAAACGAUGGACACUAGGUGUUGGUGGUAUCAACCCCGCCAGUGCCGAAGCUAACGCAUUAAGUGUCCCGCCUGGGGAGUACGGCCGCAAGGCUA
rnacentral:rRNA from 1 species